CGCAUAAUGCAGCGGCUCGACAUCGAGACAGUUGUUAAAGCGGGGGAUUCGCAAGAACCUCGCGCCUAAAGAGGAGCCUGCGGCGGAUUAGCUAGUUGGUGAGGUAAUGGCUCACCAAGGCGACGAUCUGUAACCGGCCUGAGAGGGCGGUCGGUCACACUGACACUGACAUACGGGUCAGACUCCUACGGGAGGCAGCAGUCGGGAAUUUUGGGCAAUGGGCGAAAGCCUGACCCAGCAACGCCGCGUGAAGGAUGAAAUCCCUCGGGAUGUAAACUUCGCAAGAAUGGGAAGAAUAAGAGAGGGUUAAUACCCCUUUUGAUGACGGUACCAUUUGUAAGCUCCGGCUAACUCCGUGCCAGCAGCCGCGGUAAUACGGGGGGAGCAAGCGUUGUUCGGAUUUACUGGGCGUAAAGGGCGCGUAGGCGGUCCUGACAAGUCACUUGUGAAAUCUCCGGGCUUAACUCGGAAAGGUCAAGUGAUACUGUCGGACUAGAGUGCAGAAGGGGCAACUGGAAUUCUCGGUGUAGCGGUGAAAUGCGUAGAUAUCGAGAGGAACACCUGCGGCGAAGGCGGGUUGCUGGGCUGACACUGACGCUGAGGCGCGAAAGCUAGGGGAGCGA
rnacentral:rRNA from 1 species